rnacentral:lncRNA from 1 species
AGACUUAUCCUUUUGCUUGUCCUCAAGCAAAACAUACAGGCAGUCUCUCUGAAAGAGGUUUGAAAAUAUUAGGGACUACAGAUUUUAAAGCAUAGAAAUCUUUUCCUCAACAAUUUUGCAACCACAUCUAAAAAGUCCUAAUCACAGAAACACACUAUGCAAUAUCCUAGCUUAGCAACCAUUUCUAACAUAACACAACUCAGCAAUUCACGUCUGACAUCCCCUCUACUGACUUCAUUUCUUAGCAUAAAUAUAAAAUGAAUGCUUUACCUUGGGAGUAUCGAUCAUAGGAUGCAAGGAUUUCAGAC